rnacentral:lncRNA from 1 species
UAAUCCUAUUUCUAUAUAUGAUACCCACAUGCCUUAUUAGCAUUUGGGAUGCCACACGUUCUAAUUCCAAAAGCUUCAUUCGACCCAUUCGGUAAAUUGUUUUUGAGAUAGGUUGUAUCCUUGGGACAAGUUCAAUGGAGAAAUCAAUUUCCCAUCUAGAAGGUAGACUUAGUAACUUUGCAAGAAAAACAUCCAAGAAGUCAUAGAUGAUUGGGAUUGUCUACACUGAUAGUUUAGGAUUCAUGUACCUAAGCAUCACAGAGGUUAGAAAAAAGACAAGAAAUUUUCUACAUUUUUGAAGA